UCCUGGUUAGCUCAGUUGGUAAAGUGCUCCACUAAAAAUGCAGAGGUCCUUGGUUCAAUACCAGGACCAGGCG
rfam:Ixodes scapularis strain Wikel colony gcontig_1108379193692, whole genome shotgun sequence.